CGUACACUCCUGCGGGAGGCAGCAGUGGGGAAUAUUGCACAAUGGGCGCAAGCCUGAUGCAGCCAUGCCGCGUGUAUGAAGAAGGCCUUCGGGUUGUAAAGUACUUUCAGCGGGGAGGAAGGCAAUACGGUUAAUAACCGUGUUGAUUGACGUUACCCGCAGAAGAAGCACCGGCUAACUCCGUGCCAGCAGCCGCGGUAAUACGGAGGGUGCAAGCGUUAAUCGGAAUUACUGGGCGUAAAGCGCACGCAGGCGGUCUGUCAAGUCGGAUGUGAAAUCCCCGGGCUCAACCUGGGAACUGCAUUCGAAACUGGCAGGCUUGAGUCUUGUAGAGGGGGGUAGAAUUCCAGGUGUAGCGGUGAAAUGCGUAGAGAUCUGGAGGAAUACCGGUGGCGAAGGCGGCCCCCUGGACAAAGACUGACGCUCAGGUGCGAAAGCGUGGGGAGCAAACAGGAUUAGAAACCCCAGUAGUCCCAUGAU
rnacentral:rRNA from 1 species